rnacentral:rRNA from 1 species
GACGAACGCUGGCGGCGUGCUUAACACAUGCAAGUCGAACGGAAAGGCCCUGCGUUUGUGGGGUGCUCGAGUGGCGAACGGGUGAGUAACACGUGAGUAACCUGCCCUUGACUUUGGGAGAACUUCAGGAAACUGGGGCGAAUACCGGAGAGGAGCUCCUGCUGCAUGUGGGGGGUUGGAAAGUUUCGGCGUUUGUGGAUUGACUCGAGGCUUAUCAGCUGGUUGGUGGGGUAGUCGCAUCCCAAGCCUUCGACGGGUAGCCGGCCUGGGAGGUGGACCGGCCUCCUUGCGCCUGCGAUACGCCGCAGACUCCUACGGGCCGCAGCAGUCGGGAAUCUUGCACAAUGGGCCCACGCCUGAUGCAGCAACGCCGCGUGCGGGAUGCCGGCCUUCGGGUUGUAAACCGCUUUCGCCUGUGACGAACCGUGGGUGACGGUAAUUGGUCAAGAAGCACCGGCUAACUACGUG